CACGUCUGAACAAUUCUGGUGCAGCAUACUCAGGGGAGCCACAUUGUGUUUUGAGGAGUUUGUCACCUUCACAGAUGUUACUGAGGCCAAAGUCUGCAAGGAAAACAAAAGCACAUUUACAGACAGAAAUAGUAAAGAUUUGCUAGAGAAGAAGUAAGUCAAAAAAAGAAAGAAGAAAAGGCAAAGCAUUCACCUACAUAGAACAGAUUUUCGAUUCAAUCGAGAAAGGGUGAAGGAUACGGCAGAUGUAUUGGAUAUGACACACCUAGGAGUCUCCUCUAUGAAUGAGAUAUUGAAAAUGAUUGACAGAUGUGGUCCCUAAAAAACCAACUGAUGAUAAAACCACGGUUUGCGUGUAAAUUAUUGAAAAUAUGUUGGUACAAAACACAGGUUAUUUUUGAAACUUAAGGUUUUUUUCUUUCACCAUCACUCAAUGAAUACGGUACUUCUUUUUAUUGGCCUAAUGAAGAGUUUUCCUUGCUAGUGUCGCUCUUUAGCGCAUUUUUCUCGUCGAUAACAUUGAAAAACUUAAGCUGUUUGCGGUAAAAUUAAUUACAUGAAUAAAUUCAUUUUUUCUUUAGUCUCGGGUGACAAUUUAUCUCAGACGAUAUUCCAUUAUUUUUACUCAUUUGAAUAUGUUGAUCGACUUAGAUUGGUCCUUUUUACUUUCUUCAUGACAGUGUUUAUUCAGAUGUGGUGUUUUAGACCGAAUGAAUCGCGGAUAUUGCUUUUAAAGAAACUCAAUGUCUCCAGACACUUGUUGCGCACGGAAAUUAAGUGAUAUUUUUUUCACUUGGAAAAUAUGCCGUCAAUAAUUUAUGACUCGGCUGGAGGUGAACAGGCAGAUGGUCUCUUCAAUCUAGAAAUUAACAGACUCUUUAGUUUCAUGAUUCAUCUUCAUACAAAAUAACACGAAGUAGGGAAUUGUAAGUUUCUAAAAGUUGAAUGUAUUCUGCAAUCAUUAGCAUAUAAACCCAGCUUGCAGCUGGCUAAAUAAUGUUCAAAACUAACUGGAAGGUUUAAAAGCUUUCGUCUAGAAUCUACGGAAGUCGUAAUCUUCUGUUUUGAACACGUCGCUUAUUGUAUUUUGUAGAAACUCCCCAAUGUUUUUUUUAUUUUCAUUAAAAUAGGAGAGGAAAAAGC